GUUCCUAAAAGGUUGGAAAGUUCUUGUUGCUAUAGGUAUUAAAUCCAUGGUCCCAUGAAUACCAGGAAUAACUACCACUGUGCUAAAUCCUCAGCUCUGUGUGUGUGUGUGUGUGUGUGUGUCUCACACACACGUAUAUAAAGAGAAUAUAUUUAUGAUAAGUUAAUCCUGGACUAAUCACUAUACACGAUAGCUGUAUUAAUGCAGAGUUUAAUAGACAGAUCUACAUUCUGAAAAGUCUGUUGUUAGGAAAUUGUGUCACAUGAGUCUCACGGACUGGAUGGGUCAUGACAGAGGUGCCAUCACUAAGCAAUGCAGUGUACAGGACCAUCAUCACAGACCAGGUCUGUGUUGGACAAACACGCUGUUAUGAGUCCCAUUGCUAUACACAGCUUCCAUUGCUCGACUAUAUGGCAGACGUUUAAAAGUAAAGAAAAACGGGGCUGGGGAUUUAGCUCAAUGCUAGAGCGCUUACCUAGGAAGCGCAAGGCCCUGGGUUCGGUCCCCAGCUCCGAAAAAAAAGAAACAAAAAAAUAAAAUAAAAUAAAAAAUAAAGAAAAACAAAAUCUGUUCUUUCUUAAUUCAACCCUGACUUAAAAAAUAAUAA
rnacentral:lncRNA from 1 species